rnacentral:rRNA from 1 species
UACGGAGGGUGCAAGCGUUAUCCGGAUUUACUGGGUUUAAAGGGUGCGUAGGCGGGCAGGUAAGUCAGUGGUGAAAUCCUCAAGCUUAACUUGAGAACUGCCAUUGAUACUAUUUGUCUUGAAUAUCUUGGAGGUGAGCAGAAUAUGUCAUGUAGCGGUGAAAUGCUUAGAUAUGACAUAGAAUACCAAUUGCGAAGGCAGCUCACUACACGGUAAUUGACGCUGAGGCACGAAAGCGUGGGGAUCAAACAGG